rnacentral:misc_RNA from 1 species
UCCUGGUUUCCCAGGCAGUCCCGUCAGAGUGCUCUCAGAGAGUAGCAACUGACAGCAAGGGUUGCGCUCGUUAAAGGACUUAACCCAACAUCUCACGACACGAGCUGACGACAGCCAUGCAGCACCUGUGCAGUUGUCCUGACCGAAGCCAGAAAGAUCGUAUUUCUACGACUGUCAAAAGCAUGUCAAGCCCAGGUAAGGUUCCUCGCGUAGUGUCGAAUUAAACCACAUAUUCCACCGCUUGUGCGAACCCCCGUCAAUUCCUUUGAGUUUUAAUCUUGCGACCGUACUUCCCAGGCGAAUCACUUAACGCGUUAGCUUUGAUACCAAUCCAGCUAAGCUGAACUAACAUCUAGUGAUUAUCGUUUACAGCGUGGACUAC